AGCGAACGCUGGCGGCAGGCUUAACACAUGCAAGUCGAACGCCCCGCAAGGGGAGUGGCAGACGGGUGAGUAACACGUGGGAACGUACCCUUUGGUUCGGAAUAACUUGGGGAAACUCAAGCUAAUACCGGAUAAGCCCUUAUGGGGAAAGGUUUACUGCCGAAGGAUCGGCCCGCGUCUGAUUAGCUAGUUGGUGAGGUAAUGGCUCACCAAGGCGACGAUCAGUAGCUGGUCUGAGAGGAUGAUCAGCCACACUGGGACUGAGACACGGCCCAGACUCCUACGGGAGGCAGCAGUGGGGUAUAUUGGACAAUGGGGGCAACCCUGAUCCAGCCAUGCCGCGUGAGUGAUGAAGGCCUUAGGGUUGUAAAGCUCCUUUACCCGGGACGAUAACGACUGUACCGGGAGAAUAAGCCCCGGCUAACUUCGUGCCAGCCGCCGCCGUAA
rnacentral:rRNA from 1 species